rnacentral:rRNA from 1 species
AUGCACGCUGGCGGCGUGCCUAAUACAUGCCAGUCGAGCGAACAGACGAGGAGCUUGCUCCUCUGACGUUAGCGGCGGACGGGUGAGUAACACGUGGAUAACCUACCUAUAAGACUGGGAUAACUUCGGGAAACCGGAGCUAAUACCGGAUAAUAUAUUGAACCGCAUGGUUCAAUAGUGAAAGACGGUUUUGCUGUCACUUAUAGAUGGAUCCGCGCCGCAUUAGCUAGUUGGUAAGGUAACGGCUUACCAAGGCAACGAUGCGUAGCCGACCUGAGAGGGUGAUCGGCCACACUGGAACUGAGACACGGUCCAGACUCCUACGGGAGGCAGCAGUAGGGAAUCUUCCGCAAUGGGCGAAAGCCUGACGGAGCAACGCCGCGUGAGUGAUGAAGGUCUUCGGAUCGUAAAACUCUGUUAUUAGGGAAGAACAAAUGUGUAAGUAACUAUGCACGUCUCGACGGUACCUAAUCAGAAAGCCACGGCUAACUACGUG